rnacentral:rRNA from 1 species
CGGCGAACGGGUGAGUAACACGUGGGUAAUCAACCCUCGAUACUGGGAUAGCCCGGGGAAACCCGGAUUAAUACCGGAUGGCCCUUUGGAUCCUCGGAUCUGAAGGAAAAGGUAGCUUCGGCCUCCGAUCGAGGACGAGCCCGCGGCGGAUUAGCUUGUUGGUGAGGUAACGGCCCACCAAGGCGACGAUCCGUAGCUGGUCUGAGAGGACGAUCAGCCACACUGGGACUGAGACACGGCCCAG